GGGAGUGACAAUGACUUUGUGUGCAACAGAAUGUAGUAAGACGAGCAUGGAAUUAAUUGUAUUAACACCAUUGAGCUGCUUGUGAAUGAUUU